rnacentral:rRNA from 1 species
AGAGUUUGAUCCUGGCUCAGGAUGAACGCUAGCUACAGGCUUAACACAUGCAAGUCGAGGGGCAGCAUCAUCAAAGCUUGCUUUGAUGGAUGGCGACCGGCGCACGGGUGAGUAACACGUAUCCAACCUGCCGACAACACUGGGAUAGCCUUUCGAAAGAAAGAUUAAUACCGGAUGGCAUAGUUUUCCCGCAUGGGAUAAUUAUUAAAGAAUUUCGGUUGUCGAUGGGGAUGCGUUCCAUUAGGCAGUUGGCGGGGUAACGGCCCACCAAACCAACGAUGGAUAGGGGUUCUGAGAGGAAGGUCCCCCACAUUGGAACUGAGACACGGUCCAAACUCCUACGGGAGGCAGCAGUGAGGAAUAUUGGUCAAUGGACGAGAGUCUGAACCAGCCAAGUAGCGUGAAGGAUGACUGCCCUAUGGGUUGUAAACUUCUUUUAUACGGGAAUAAAGUUAGCCACGUGUGGUUUUUUGUAUGUACCGUAUGAAUAAGGAUCGGCUAACUCCGUGCCAGCAGCCGCGGUAAUACGGAGGAUCCGAGCGUUAUCCGGAUUUAUUGGGUUUAAAGGGAGCGUAGGCGGGUUGUUAAGUCAGUUGUGAAAGUUUGCGGCUCAACCGUAAAAUUGCAGUUGAUACUGGCGACCUUGAGUGCAACAGAGGUAGGCGGAAUUCGUGGUGUAGCGGUGAAAUGCUUAGAUAUCACGAAGAACUCCGAUUGCGAAGGCAGCUUACUGGAUUGUAACUGACGCUGAUGCUCGAAAGUGUGGGUAUCAAACAGGAUUAGAUACCCUGGUAGUCCACACAGUAAACGAUGAAUACUCGCUGUUGGCGAUAUACGGUCAGCGGCCAAGCGAAAGCAUUAAGUAUUCCACCUGGGGAGUACGCCGGCAACGGUGAAACUCAAAGGAAUUGACGGGGGCCCGCACAAGCGGAGGAACAUGUGGUUUAA